rnacentral:lncRNA from 1 species
GCUAAAGAGCCAUUGAGGGGAAGAGAAACUUUUUGGAUAAAUCACUUGAAAAAUAUAUUUUACAUAUUUACAGAGUCAAUACCCUGCAGAUUAGGCAGAUUACAUAUAAACAAAAUGACCAAGUGAUGUUAGUCAUUGUGAGUGGUGAAGUGUAAUAUACAUGCUGAUUGCGAAUGCUAAUUAGCUUCACAGUUCAAAUCUGGAUCAUCAACUGUGUUGAAGUACAAUGUUGAAAGUUUGUCAUCAAAUUUGGAAACCAGUAACGCUUCCCUAGUCGAGCAAUGAAAAUGUCAAUUAUUUUCUUGAACAUGUCAUCUCCUUUUAUUAGGGGCUACUCCACAAACUCAGCUAGAGGUAUCCACUGCAUCGCGAACAGAAAGGCAGGCUAAGUAAAUGCAAGGUAAAAUAAAACUACACACUCUCGUCAGAAUUGUUCAAAAAAUGGACUUUGGAUCUAACUCAACUCCUAAAGCUAGAUCAUAAGGUGAGGAUGGUCCAAAAUCAUAUAAGAAAAGAACUAACACAUUUUCCCACUCAAUAUGAGAUACUUAGCAUCCCUCGCAUGCCCAGGAUUGAACAUUUUGUGCAUGGACAAUACAGUGUGGCGCAAAGCCAAGAAUAUGAUGAGUGGUGUAACUCUGAUACUAUGUGAAGAAAAGUGAACAUUUAAUUUAACAUAAAAAGCUAGCUCAUUGGGCGAGGAAACAACAAAUUUCCCAAACCAAUGUGGAACAUUAAACAAGAAUGAAAAUGCCAAUAGAUGAGUAUAUUCUAAAUAUUAAUGUUAGAUGUUAAUGGCCCAUAUUCUGAAAUGACGGAAUAAGUAGUUUCUCAAUUUUCUUGAGGUUAAUCAAUGUUUUCCUCCAGAAAAUACAUGUAAUGAAUAAAAUACAUGACACGUUAAACUAAGGUUUAUAGUGUGAUUGUCUCAAAUAGCAUGAGUGAGAGCAAGAAGCUCAAUUAAUAUUGAAGAUGGGCAGUUUUUUUGUAAUUGGAAGAAAAUAAAUCUUAUAUUUCUAUAUCAGAUGCACAUUCGUUUUGAUCAAUUUGUUACAUCAGAAAGCAAGAAGUGUCCUAAACAAUGAAGUCUAGGGGAGCCUUAGCGUAACGAUAAAAGUUGUCGCAGUGUGACCAAGAGGUCAUAGGUUCAAGCGACAGAAACAACUUAUUGUAGAAAUCGAAAGUAAGGCUACGUACAUAAGAACCAAUGUGGUCCGGCCUUACCCGAACCCCGCACAUAGCAGGCGCUUAGUGCACUAGGCUGUCCUUUUUUAGCAAGCAAGAAGUGUCCUAAACAGUUAAAUCUAGCAAAUUGUACUUCUAUAUUCUCUAUGUGUCUGAGCAAAGUUCACUCGGAUUCUUAUCGUAUCAGCAUUUCAUGUUCUUAUAAAAUAUGCUAAUAUAGAUCUUCCUAAAGCUAAAAAGGCAUAUAAUCAUCAAAAAUCAUGGUCCUUCGAAGAGGAAGAUUUUUGUUACCUGAAAGUCAUAACCUCCACAAAUUCAGUAUCAAUCUAUAAAGAAUAAUGAGAAAGAAAAUUCAUCAUUUAAAUUAAAAUUUCUCACUAUACAUUGCUUAUCUAAGUAAAAAAUAUGUUUAAGUGCGGAUUUCUUACCCCAAUUUCCUCCACUUCUCUCACAACUCCUGUAAAGAUCUCCUCUGACUUUAUUUUGACACAAGAACAACGUUUAAGGAGCCAAGCAUCAAGAUUUCAUGUUUCACUAUUUACUUCAGUCAAAACUUAAAAGCGACCAAGAUCAAAAUGCAAUACAGGAAUAUACCUCAAGAAUGAAACCAGUUGGUAUUUUCCAUAAGCCUGAAAGAGUCCACGCAGAAUGUUUCUCUUGCACGACGAUGUCACGAUCCGGAUUUUUCACCCUCGGGAGUCGCGAUGACGCCUACUAAUAUGAUCUAGGAAAGCCAAUUAUUGAAUGAUUUACCUUUUUACCAUUUUUAUUCUCUUUAACAUUAUAUAAAAACAUAACAUGUAAACAACGAAAAUUUAGAUUAAGUGGAAGAAAACAAUAAAAUAUCUGAACGUAUAGAUGUUGCAACAAUUUAAGCCUUAACCACCCAGAACUGGUGUCACAGUAUCACAGACGGUCUAAGAUUUACUACAUACAAAGUUCGGAAAAAAAAUAACGAUACACUGUUUCUGAAUUAAAGAAAACAAAACAGGAAAUAAGGGAUAGAGGGAGAUGCCAGGGCCUGCGGACGCUUGCAGGUCUACCUUGGAUCUCCGUGGACUGAAGGUAGCCUCCAAACUACGGUCCAAAAGCUACUCCGAGAUCUGCACAUAGUGCAGAGUGUAGUAUCUGUCGCACCUCCUUUUUUACACUCCUGAAGGUAUAUAAGGGAGUUUUUCUACUUAAGGUGACAUCAUUCGAAACGAGAUUAUUUAUUUAUCAGAGUCGCCACUUGGGAUAUUUAUUAUGGUGUCCCAAGUCACGUUUAUUUUAAAUCCCAAAUCGAGGAAAUUCGACUUUCCUUCCUAAGUAAGGAAUUUUGUUAACCCGAGAGAAGGUGUUAGGCAUUCCCGGGUUCUGUGGUUCUAGCACGGUCGCGUAAACUAUUACAAUUGGUCUAUUAUCUGAUUUAUUACAUGUUUUAACCUAUUGUGCAUUUUUAGCUUUAUAACUGCAUUUAAAUAGUUUAAUCGUUUUUAGGAUGCUUCAACAUCAUUUAAAAACAUGCCUUGAACCGCACCACAUGAAAUGCACCCACGGUCCACGACACGUUUUAUUUAAAGUUAUUGAGAAUUAAAAUUAGGUCACAUGAAAUGCACACCUGAAUUUAAUAAUUUAAAGAAAAUCAAUUUAAAGAGCGCGCCUAAAGCAACUACGAAGGUUCAAAUUAACAAUGUUUGCGAAGGCCAUGGAAAAUUCAAUUGAUGGCACACCUCGAUUUUUAAAGAGUUAAUAUUAAUUAAAUGAGGGCCAUGGGUUAUUUAAUGAAAAUGGCACACCUCAAAUUUUCUAUAAAAACUAGCUAGUUUUGUGAGGGCCAUGAGCUUAGGAGUUUUAUUUGGCAUGGCACGCCUCAAAUCCAUUUUAAGAAUCUAGUUAAUUAAGGAAAAAACUUAAAGGGAUUCUAAUUAAUUAUUCAAACCUAUGUAGCAACUAACAAGCAUUGUAUUAAGCCACCAAUUGUCUAAAAGGGAAUUUCCUCCACAAUAAAGCAACUAAACGAAGGAGCUGAAUUUGAUGAAACGCAACAGGCCAAAGUAACCAAGAGGUAAACAAUCUAUUUACGGAUGUCUUCAGGCUUGGGUCCAAAAUGAGCCCAAUUUUUAAUGGAAGCAUGAGUGUCCAAACCAUAGAACAUUUGUGCAAAUUGGGCCAGCAUUAGGCCCAAUCUUCAGAACCAAACACUUGUGCAAAUUCAUUUAAAUGCCAAUCAACUAAAACUAUAUAAAACACGAAAUUAAACUAACAUUCUACUUCUGAAUUUUUAAACUAUUGAAACACAAACCAACUAGCUAAACAUUCUGUAUUUUUAACAUCCAUGCAUCUUUGGGCCGAGCCCGCUAUAAAAAUAACAGUAACAACAAACAGACAUGGUACUGGGCUUAAGAAACAUGCCCAAAUAUCAAUGGUCAUACCAUUUUUCCUUGCAAAGUGACAUCAAAGUCCCAGGCCCAAGGAAUUUAAACCUUGCAAGAGCCAAGGGGAAAGAGCAGGACUCAAUGUCGAGUCCCUAACAACACAAAAACUUUACAGGCUAUUAGCUCAACUUACACUAAAAUAACAUAUUCUUAUCCUCAAUUGCACUGAUGACCAAACUAAACAAAUGUUCAUUCUUGCAUUCAAUUUCUAAGCUAAUUUCACAAAUGAACGUAUGAAACCUAAACUCAUUUAAACUCUCUUUCACUAUCAACAGUAACAGGAUACAGGGAAUUAGUAAAUUAUUCACUUGAAUCUCAAAAGACAUACUAAAAUUCUUAACAUCAUAGAUUCAUUUCAACAACCUAUCAGUAACAAGAGAAGAGUUGAAGUAACAUGUAUAGUUUAGGAUUUACACAUAGAACACUUCAUAAAUGAGAGAAUCAGAACCACACUUUAGAGUUUCGCACAAACUCAAACAUGAAAUGAGUCUGCUAUUACAUAUCUAGGACAUGUAAAAAGGCAAUAGGGGAAAUAAACAAAACUGGAUAACUUAAAUUAACACAUGGAAAAUGAUCUUCAAAGAUAAACAAACUUAUUACAUUUCAACAGACUCCCUAUUUUUCAUACCCAAUAACCACAUCCAUAGCUUCAUUGGCCACUCAAUAGUUAAAGGAAAUACCUGGAAAUAAAAGGGAAACAAAAAAGAGAAGAAUCAGCAAUAAGCAGCAGCAGAAACCAACUUAGAACCAGCAACGAAACAGUGCCAAGGUCAGCAAAUCAAGCUUCAGUUUAUCGAACCAAUUCUCAUAUUCAAAACCCCAAAUGCACGAUUUUCUACUAAACCUUUAAAAUUCUGACUUAUCACAAAGGAAUCAGAACUCAAAAUCAAGCAGAAAUUCAAACUAUUUUCAACACUUCUCUUAAAAGAAAGAACUCAGCCGUUUCAGUUUUUUUUUCCAGAAUUUUUAAUCUCUAAAAUCUGACUUGUGGGUGAAGAAAGAUUGCCUUUAUAGGCAAGCUUUUAGGGAAGCAAGAGUGAAU